UGAUUAAGAAUGGGAACUGACAGCACAGCUGGGGACUGAUGGUACUGUGUGUGAGCUUAUAAAGUGAUGUACAGGCAGUAGGGAGGGGGCUGCAGGAGGCACCAGCACAGACACCUUCUCCCUUUGAGAGAUACAGUAGCAGAUCCAGUGCUCCAGGGGUGUGCUCAGGUCUCUGUUGAGCAAAGAUUGGCAACUAUACACAAACUUACACAAACUGUUGUCUCUGCUUGCAACUGAAACUGGAGGUGUGGAGAUACGGGCAAUAAAUGGGAAAUGCAAAAGAAAAUGGCAUCAGCAUCAAGCUGUGUUCCCCUGGGUAUGAUACUACAUAAAGAUAUUAGAGCACAAAUAAAACAUGUAUAACAUCAA